rnacentral:lncRNA from 1 species
UUAAGGAGGCAGCAAAGCUGCAAGACACCUUCGCAGAGUAACCAAUCAUUGGAAAUGAUGUUACCUAUAGAACUUCGGACACAAACCAAAGAGGGAAAUGUGUCUAUAGAUUAGCAUCAAAUCAUCUCUAGGGUAUCGCACUUACAAGAAACAAAAAAGUAUGACGGGGAAAAAGAAUUAAUGAACCAGUCAUCCUCAAUUUCAGGUAAUGUGCUGAAAUCACAUUUUGAUGUUGAAGUAAUCAGGGUCAAAGUGAUGCAACCUCACGUAACCAUCCUCACCACCACUUGUGAAGCUAUCCAACACAGAAAAUAAUAAUUAGUAUGGCGUCACAUGUUUGAAAGAUUUCUGUAGCAUGAAUCUCAUAUCCCAUUAAUUGCCAGCAAUAUACAGCAAAUUCUAGCCCCGAAAAAAAAAUAAUGUACAGCAAGUAUAUCGUAAAUGGCAUUUAUAGCAAUUUAAAUAACAAGACAAUAAUUCCCUUAAGAAAAGGGUGUAAUACUAAUACCAACACCAUCCCUCAAAAAAAAAAAGGCAACCAAUUUAAGCUCUUUCUAAACAUUAUACAUAGGUUGCAGCAAAAGAUUUGAAUGAUAAUAUAGUGGACAAGUCGUUGAUGUUCAAUUAAGCAAGAAAUGCCUUGCCAAAUUAUGGAAGAUUUGGGAUACUCAACAAGGACAUCAACUUAAUAUAUAUAUAUAUUAAGAUCUUUUUUAAUACAGCAUGUGGACCAAUGAAUACUUGCCUGCACUAAAAGCAUACAUGCCUUUGGUGAAGGCCUCCUGCAGCUAGAGCCCCUCAACAUCAUAUAUUAGAACUUGAUGACUCCAUUACCACAUCUCAUGCCAAGACUCAUUGUUUCUAGUCGUAACAAACAAGUUAUGCAUCUCUGUACUUUUCUGUCUUUGGCGGGCCAUAACUCAUACGCAAGAUAGGCCAUUCAUGUCGAAUAAGAGCACAUUUCGCCUAUAUGCCUAGGUGUAUCACAAGCUAAAUUCAUGGUAAUGAGAAAAGGUUAUGAAAAUGUCCUGAUAUUCUUUUUUUUCAAGGGAAAGGCAGGUCAAUCCACCCAUAUAUCCUCAUAUUCAAGAACUAUAUAUGCAUACAAAAGACUAAAUCCAACUACAUGGCCUAUGACAUCUCAAUGAUCAAUUACUGAUGAUAAUGGCAUGGCAGUAGGGGUGUGAAAAAAAGCAGGCCAAACUACGAACCCAAACCGAUCAGGUCACUUCAGUUGAGUUUAAGCAGGGUUUUUCUAUAGUCAGUUUAGUUUCAGUUUAAAAAAAUUUCAAACCGAAAAAAUUGGUUCAGUUUCAUUUUGGAUUUUUGAGAAAACCAACCCUGAUAUAUGUGUGUAUUUUCCCUUCAGUGGUUCAGCCCUAACCCUAAUCCUUUUUCAUGGGUCUCCUCCCCACUCGGACAACCACCAAUCACCCCUUCUUUAUCUCACCAUCUCUUCCCCUCACCACUCCAGCCACCGGUGCCUCCUCAUCCUGCCAAUCGAUAAGGAGCCAAUGGCGUCAUUGCCCGGCAGCUAAAGCAGCUGCAAUGGGUGGGGGAGAUGGCCCUCGUGCCUCAUGGGGUGUCUCAUCUCUUUCAAGCCCCACUAUCUUGUCAUGAAGCUCGGCUCUUGGAACCUACCCCAAUUCCUUUCUUUUGAUUCUUGAAAUCGGAAGUACGACAAGAGAUCGAUUUUGGAGUCAGCUGUAUACAAGGAAUUGGAGAGCAUCCAAAAUCCUUCUUUGAUCUAACUUGACUGUAGUCUUGUUUUCUCUUACUCUCCUUCUCCUUUGGGUUUUGUAGAUGGAUUUUUUCAAUAUAAACUCUAAGAAAACCAUCAUGAACUGGCAACGUUCGGAUCUUCUCAACAUGAUGCAAUGAACCAAGAAGGGUGCAACCAGAAUUUUGAGUGCACAUAGAAUUUUCAGUGCUCAUAGACAAGGGCGACCAGAAGAAGUAUUGAUAGGCACUAAAGGAUCUCCCCUGCCUCAAGUAAUUCUUUCCACUUAAAAAUGCAAAUUAAUAAAGAUUCAACCAUUAAGGGCAUUGCUUAAGAUUGCUGAACUAAAGGUACUAUACAGAAUAUUCAACUUUGGAUUAUCAUUUUCCCUAGUGAACUAUUAGAUCCUACUCAAAAAAAAAAACACAAAACAGAAGAAUAACUUAAGUAUUCUCGAUAUGGUGAUCAAUAUUAUUGUGCUAUAGCAUAUGCAUGUGCAAUAUGAUUAUUAAGGCCCAGAAGAUGAGAAAGUCUGCACAUGGAUAAGAAUAAAAUUUAGAAAAUCUCACAUUAAUUGCAUUAACAGCAUAAGGCAUAUGUCUACAUGGUACAAAAAUGAAAUGCAUAGAUCUGAUCCAACAAAAAGUGGCAUUAGGCUUGUUCAUUAUGGUUGAAUAAUCUCUGAUAAAUACUAAAGUUAUUCUAACUUUACUGAAAGUUCUGCCAAAGUGCUAACUUUUAUAUUAGAUGAAUUGACUAAUAUGGAACAAGCUUAAGAAGGGUCGUAGAGAAUAAAUAUUGGAAAGUAUAAACUUGUUUCCAAAUAGGCCCUAUGUAGAUACGUGUCAAUAUGAAGUGGGAAAAAAAUAUACACAAAACAUAGACAAAGCAUAAAGAAGCAUAGGCAGUGGAGGAACAGCAUCCACCCUAGAGAGAUUAGCUAAACUGAUAUACAAGCUUUGUAUCCUUAAUCAUCCCUGAAAAGACAAGCUCUUUUUAUUGAUCGUUACAGAGAAUCCAACUAUGUUUUCACUUGAAAAGUAACGUAAUCAUUAUUCUGAGUGUAUUUUUCAGAAGGCAUUGGCCAAAAACCAGCAUGCUUCAAAAUAUGACCGAAAACCUAAAAUAAAAUAAUUUCGAAGAAAAAAUAACACAGAAAACCCAUGGCCCUAGUGCAACUCUGUUAAGGUUUUAAAUACUGUGGUAUCCUGCCGUCCUAGUUUUUGCAUGCGCCCAACACUCGGGAUGGUGGAUGUCCUAUCCCAACCCAUCCCAGCUCAUUUCCCAACACUCAGGAGUCAGGAAUGUACCGUCCCCACACUUGGGGCAGUGGGAUGCCCCACUGUUCCACUGGUAUUUAGAACCAUGAACUUAAAACCAGCCAUUCAACAAAAAUCUAAUUCCCAUUGGAGUAUUGAACUUAGGGCUUUCCUUAAAUUAUGAUGUUGUGCGGUAUAGACUAAUACUUUCCAACUUUGACUGAAACACUUGCCUAGCAUAAAGUUAUAUAACUUUCCCAAAGUAUGUGUAUACACUGUACCGUCAUGUGGUAGGUACAUUCAUGUAUGAGAAACUCAACCUUUUGCCCAUACAACUGACUAAAGACAUGCAAGCUUCCAGCUUCAGUAACACCUAAAUAACUCUGAUAAAUUGUAGAAAAAAGGCAUCCAAAAGAAUACAUUAAGAAUGUUGCAAAAAAAGUCACUAGAAUUUGUGAUUGGGAACCAAAGAAUGAUCAAGAUUCAAAAACAAGACCUUAAAGAAAAGCAUAUAUGUGGAAAACAUAUAAAACAUGUGAAAUGCAUGAAAUGAUAAAUGCAAUGGCACCAUUCAUACACGUGCACAAUGCUAUAAUGUUGUUUAGCGAGUUUAGAAUUUAAGUUUCAAAAAUAGAAAAUUCAAAAGUUAAAAUGUAACAAAAGGAGAACAGAAAUAACCUUCUUCCAUCAGGAUUGAAGGCCAAAGCAUUAAUUGGUCCAAAAUGCCCUUUCACACCCCCAAUUUCCUCUUGAAGAAUCUGUUCAACAAAGAGAAAAAACAAAUUCUUAAAGCCUAAAGAAUUGAAUCAAUGGCAUAACAUUACUCAAGGAAUUCAAACCUUAGUUGAAAAGGUAAUAUAAACAUUGCUUACCUUGUGAAAGAAUUUUGCUUCAAACUUCCCAGCACGACGAUCAGUAGUUGUAACAUGCGAUGCAUCCUGACCACCUCCAAUCACCACCUGAAGGAAAUCAAAUGCCAUGAUUAUUUCUCAGAAACAGAUUCAUCCUUUAGGUGCAUUAAACUACAAAGUUCUGAUUUGCAUCUUGUGAGUCAUUAAUCAAUCAAAGUUCCAGUCUGAACGGGCAGAACACCAACUGGACUUUUACCAGAUGAUUUAGAUAAAAGUAUAUAGAAUUGUAAAAAGUGUACAGUUGCAUAUAUCAAAAGCAACAUGGUAGCACAGAAUAUCAUUUUUGUAACAGACUUUAAUAAAAAACAGAAGUCCUGAACACUGGCAGGCAAAGGCAAAUAAGAUGCAAAUCAGAUAGUUUGCAAAGCCUUGUAGUGCAGACAAGAUGGAAGUGAUUCCAAUAUUAUAAAGUCUAAACUGACAAAUUCAUGCAUGCUUGUGCAGUUGUCCGGUUGUGACUGGGUGGCUGGCUCUGUGUCUGAGUGCUAUGCUGCAUCUGGAUGCUUCACACCAACCAAUAAUUGCUCAAAUGCAGAUAAACAAAAGGGGGGUCCAUUUAGAGCUUACAUGAUCAAGAAGCGGAGAUAUCGCACAUGCAUUGACUGGGCGUUCAGUCACGUAUGCCUUGAUAAGAGUUAGUGUUCUGGCAUCCCAGAGCUAAGGAAAUUACAUAAAAUUGGUAUUAGCAGAGAUACUAUUGUCCAAAUAGAAUUACUGUGAGGGGAAAUCUUAUUUGAUAUAGAUCAUGAAAAUCGAUAAGCUACAAUACCUUGGCAGAUUUAUCCAAUGAUCCAGAGAGGAAAUGAGACCCCUUGGCAGACUUUGACAGAGAAGUGAUAGGUUUCUGAUGACCAGUUUCUUUAUCGGAUUCUUUCAGCAGCUGCCCAGUCUACAGAAAAGAAAGCCCCCAAAAUCAUAUAUUUUCAUGAAACGGCAGUGAUUAAGAAGAAAUUUCAUGGAUAACUAUAUGGAAAAAAAAGCAUCAAUGUUAACCAUUAUGACAAGUCUCUUGCUCAUUUAAGUUCUACUAUGGCAUCAUUCAAAAUAAAAAAGAAUUAACUCAUUAACCAAAAAAAAGGGUUCCAGUUUCCAAACCUCUAGCUGGUAAUGCAAGGAAGAAAAAAUCAACCAAGCUGAAUAUAUGAAUUUGGGGGCGAGUGGUUUGAAUGGGAAAAGCAGGACAUCCAGAAGUUAGGAUACGAAGUUCAAACCAAAGCAAAAAUAUGAAGUAAAAGAAUUGUAUCUGCUAGAGUACUAAUUUUACGGAAGCAGAUUUCCCUAGUCUGGUGAUCCCUAUUUUUUUUCCCAGUGGAGUUCAUGAAUGAUGGAGAUACAUGUUCAGAUUGACCUGACACAAGAAGCAUCAGGGCUUCAUAUAACACUUGCUAGACUUACCAGGUCAAUUUAAAAGCUAUAGGUUUUAAGCUACUUCACCAACCAGGAGUCUUCUGCAAUUUAAUUUUUUCACUACAUACAUCACACAUUAUUAAAAAUGUUAGUUGGACACGUGACGCAGGUACCAAGCGUCCCGUCUGGAAAAUCCAAUACAGGAAUCUUCAAGAAAUUGACAUCGGAACACAUAAUUACAUUAUAUAUGCAUGUGUAAAUAUGUGCCUAUAUACAUGUAUAAUGAAUAAUAAGCUUGAGCUAUGCACCGUUAAGUACAUAAAAUUUGAUAAAAUGCUUGCGAAUUUUAUGUUAGAUUUGAUGAUUUUCACAUAGAAGUUGCAAAAAUGGAUACAUGAUGUUGAUGACAUCACGGCAUGAUGGAAUGAAGUAUCAAGGAAUGUCAUAAAGUGUACCAAGUGUCCAACUUUGGAGGGUCCAGGUAACAGUAGUUAGAGACUAUGUAAAGUCUACAAUGUUAAUCGAGUGAAGAACUAAAAGAAUCAAACUGUAAAUUCCUAAUUCAUUAGGUCAAAAGAGGAUUACAAAUUGGUAGGAAUUGAACCAAUUCACGAUAUAGUGCAAUGAAAUAUGAAAAACAAAAUGAGUGCAUAAGAAAUACUAUAGAAUGGUCAAAUAAAUCUUAUACGCAGCAAAUUUUGCUUAUAUAGUUCCUUCUAAAAAUUAAUUUUAUCAUCUAUCUCAUGGCUCUUGAUUGAAAAAGAAAAAAUCAAAGGUUAUAUGAAUCAAGAAAACAAAAUUUUCUCAACCUACCAAAGUUAUUAAGGAAAAGCAAAUUGCAAAUUACAAGUCUGACCCUGAAUGAAGCAAGUAAAAGUGAACAAACUUUAAGGCGAGCAAUAAAGAAGAGGCUGAUGCCAGCAUAAAUCUACACUACAUUACAAAAACAAGGUGCAUAUAUAUUUAAAAAGCGCUAAACUCUAGAUAUCUGAAAUGAAUGUGAGAAGAAAAUUUAAACAGAGAUAGAAAUCACCUGGAGAGAGAAACUUAUCUCAUAUAGAGCUAAUAAUUACUCAAGCAGACUAAACGAACAGAAAAGCAACUAGAGUUGAUCAAAAGUUUUGAUGACACAAACAACAAUCUCACAUGCAAAAAUAAAUGAGAAUAAUUUAUCUGCUAAGGGAAUAAUAUCCAUAAUUAUAACUACAAUCAUCAAAAACUCAUCCUAACUAUUCAAGGACUGGUAUGAAUCCUCAUGUAUCAACUGCAGCACGAUUUUAAGCUAUAGAGAAAAUGACCAGGGGUGUUCCUCAGUCAUAUAGGGGGCAAUAAGAUAACAAUUGACAAGAACAGAAGAUCACUCAGAAACAAACAUCAGUGCAAGCAUUCCAGUCAUUGAAAAAGGGCUUAAAAUGCCCAACAAGGAAACUAAGAAUAAAAAAAAUCAAAUAAGAAUACCCAGGUAUGAUGUCAAGAAAUGAAAGAGUCUUUAAUUUUGAUUCCAAGGUACACAUGAGGAAAGGUCAAGAUGGUUGAAAGAAACAAAUAGAAAAUAAUGGAAAGUACUAUUAUCUUCACAAUGAAAGGAGGUUUUAUAACUUUGUUUAGCCAUUAUAUUCUAGAGAUUCACAAGCGAUGAUGCAAGAAACAUGACAGAGUUUUUAUCACAACAUUUUUGCCAUGACAGUAAGAGAUACAUGUGAGCAAGGAUUGCCGAACCGGACCGUACCGCCCGGUUUGGGCCAAAUCGAGCCGACCCCGUCAGAGACCGGGUCGAUUUGCUUAUGGAAAACGGUUCCGGCCAAAACCACAGUAACACUGGCCGGAACCGGACGAACCGAACGGUUCCGUCCGGUUCGAACUGGUACCGAACCGCACUAGGUGUUGACAGGUACGUCAUCCAAUCCCAGUUCGGCAAUCCUCGCAUGUGAGGUAUACAUAAAAGAAUGGGUGCACAUAUAAUCAUGUUCUAUAUAUAUAAUGCCAAAUAAGCAAACAAGUGCAAGCCAUUCAGAUUGGAUAAAAUUUUAUAGAUGAGAUAUUCAGUGACCGACCUCCGAAUCCCAUAUACGGAUCACAGCAUCUUCUCCGGCACUUAUUAUGGUCUUAUUUAAAGGUCCCCAGACAGCCCUAUUGAUUCUCCCAUGAGGACCCUUGAUUGUAAGCACUGAUUCACCAGUCUCUGCCCAAAGAGAAAAAGGCCAAGAAUUUUGUAUAACAACAAGGCAGUGAACAGUCAAACAUAUGUCAUAUUGUUAAUUUUGCUUUCUAAUAUGUCUUACGUAGUCAGCCCCUUGUCAAGAAAGACAGCCUCUCAGCCAUCAGAAAGUUUUAACUUUCAACAAUGAAUGGCUUUAAAAUAGAGUCAAAAUCCUAAGUUCACCUGUCCAAAGUAGAUAGCAAGAAAUAUGCAAUGCAUACCAGUCAGCAGCAAUAAUGUUGCCUAAACAAAAAAAAAAAGAUGACCAAGCAGCAGCCAACCGUAAGGCUGUUGAUGGUGCACUGCAAGAUCACCGCAAACAUCAACAAGAAAGAGAGAGAGAGGAGGGGUGGGGAGGAAGAGCUUACAAAACUUAUAAAAAUAUCCAAAGCAUGCAAAAUCACACGUAUCAUUUUUUCAGUUAAUUAAUUAAGCUCAUUCAAAUGACAUCAUGCAGAUUGCUUUCUCCAUUUUUUAGUGUAUAUGCAAUACAUAAAAUGAUAUAGAGGAAGGCAACACUUUUCACAACAAUGGGGCAGAAAAUGGAGCAACACAAAAAGAAAAAAAUAAAAUUAGUGCCCCACAGAGGACUUGCUCAGCUAAAAAGAAAAUAUUAUUUAAAAGAGAUAAUAAAUGAUGAUCAACUUCAAACCUCCAACCAAAUGAUGUGGAGAAGCAAGUCCCAACUGGACCUUCUGAAGUGUUAACAUCCUUGCUCAAUCCAACAACUUCGACAAAAUGAAAAGGUCGUUAAAAUAAGGCUAAUAUUGACUGGAAGAUCUCGAAAGAUCUCCUGGCAGGAGAAAAAAUAUGCAUAUGACAAAAUGGUCCCAAACUCACCAUUACAACUAAACUCAUUUCCCAUCUUUCCUUUUAUUAGAAGGUAAUGACAGAGCUAACAUCCCAGGACAUCUAGACCACCCGUAAAACAUGGAACUACCAAACUGAACCAUGCAGGUCAAAGCAUGAACGCCUCUUUUGUGAGAACUGAACAGAGUGAGCUUAAAAUGAAGCUCCCUCAACAUCCUGCCUUCAAAUUCUAUUGUCAUCAACCUCACUUGUAAGUUAGUAAUGCCAUCAGAGCUUCAAUGGGCCUCUAAGCUCCAGCAAAGCGGGGAAAAAAAAGAAAUUUUUAACAGAAAUGAUGUGAAUACUCGAUUAUUCCAUACUUUACCAAAAGAAAUGUGGCAUAAGUAUAAAACAAAAGAAGGGCAAGAAAUACACAAUGCACACCAGUCAGCAGCAAUGAUAUUGCCUAAACAAAAAUACAAGCAGCAGCCAACAAUCUGGCAGUUAAUGGUGUGCACUGCAAAGAUCCUACUCUUCCAAGAGAGAGAGAGAGAGAGAGAGAGAGAAGAGAGAGAGAGAAGAGAGAGAGAGAGUUUAGGGAAGCAUGAUAUAAAUCCACCAUCUGCAGUGUUGAAUUAUUACAUAAGAUCUAAUUUAAGGAGGCAGCAAAGCUGCAAGACACCUUCGCAGAGUAACCAAUCAUUGGAAAUAAUGUUACCUAUAGAAUUUCGGACACAAACCAAAGAGGGAAAUGUGUCUAUAGAUUAGCAUCAAAUCAUCUCUAGGGUAUCGCACUUACAAGAAACAAAAAAGUAUGACGGGGAAAAAGAAUUAAUGAACCAGUCAUCCUCAAAUUCAGGUAAUGUGCUGAAAUCACAUUUUGAUGUUGAAGUAAUCAGGGUCAAAGUGAUGCAACCUCACGUAACCAUCCUCACCACCACUUGUGAAGCNNNNNNNNNNNNNNNNNNNNGAGAGAGAGAGAGAGANANANAGAGAGAGAGAGAGAGGUGGGCCUAGAAAACUUACACAAAAACUAAGUAUGCAAAAUCAUUGUAUCAUUUGUUUUUCAGUUGAUUGAUUAAGCUUAUUCAACUGAGUUCAUGCUAGGCAGUACCAUGUAUAUGUACCUUAUAUAUAUACACAUAUGCACAUAUAUAUAGAUAUACAUACAUAUUCAUAUAUGUAUAUACAUCCAUACAUACAUACAAUAUAUAUAUAUAUAUAUAUAUAUAUAUAUAUGAAUGUAAUGUGUGAUACAUAAAAUGAUAUAGAGCAGGCAACACUUUGACAUAAAUGCGGCAGAAAAUGGAGUCACAACCAGAACCAGAAAACGAUAAAGACCCCAUACAGGACUCACUCAUCUAAAAGAAUAUAUAUUAAGAAGAGAUAAUAAAUGAAGAUCAACUUCAGACCUCCAACCAAAUGAUCAAGAAGCAUGUCCAACUGGAUACUUCAAAGUGUUAACAACCCGUGUUCGGUCCAACAACUCCAACCAAAUGAAAGGCAGUCCAAAUGAGGCUAAUAUUAUCAUAUGGCUGAUUGGAAAAUAACUAAGAUAUCCUGGCAGCAACCUCAAACUCACCAACGCAACUAACGUCAUCUUUCAUUUUACUAGAAAGUUGGGAAGGAGAGAGAUUAUACCAGGACAACUAGACCACCCACAGAACUUGGGGCUACCAAACUAAAUCAUGUAGGUCAAAGCAAGGGUGCCUAUUUGAGAGGAUAGUAUAGAGUGAGCUUAAAAUAAUGCUCCCCUUAACAUCUUCCCUUAAAAUUCAAAUGUCAUCAUCUUCACAUAUAAGUUGGCAAUGUCAUAAUCUUCAAUGGAGAUAUAAGCUCCAGAAAACCAAAACAAGGGAAAUUGUUAA